UCGAGACAGUUUCAUCUGCAGCUGAUACCUCAAUCACGACAAAGGAUCUUAACAGCGAAGAUAAUUCAAUUCCACCUAAUUCAAGGCUUCAAGUUGGUGGCUCUGAAUGUGGCACUGAACUUUCUAUUACUUCUACUCUUGAUUCACCUGAUAUAUCCGAAGUUGGAGCCAUGGAAUUUGACAAUGAAGCCAAAGUCUCAGAAGAAGUGAUUUGCAAUCUCAACAGCACUGGAGGCCUUGAUGUUGAAUCCAAGGAUGUGUCCACCAUCGCAGUGUCUAAUUUAUCUGACACUAUGUUGGCUCCACCAGAGAAACGUGAUGCUGUUAAUGGUGAACCUGUUAAUUCAGUUGUAGAUGUGGACUCCUCACAGGUAAAGCAGAAGCCAGAGAGAACUGCAUCUGAUCUGCAGAUAGAACUGGACCCUCAGACAGGCCGUCAAGCAUACAGGUCAUCACCAGAAGCUUCUCCAAGGAGCCACAUCACUGUUCCCGAGUCCCAAGGAACACCUUCCAGCCAGGUAUCAGUGAAAGCUAAAAGGAGCAAAACUGAUAAAAGUGGGUCCAACCAAAAGCGUGCAUCUCUGUCAGCAGGUAAGAGAUCCCCUUCAAAUCCAAACCAUGAUUCUGGUGCAAGGAGUAGCAUGGAACAAUUGCCUAAAGAUCAGAAAACUGGGAAGAGACGCAAUUCUUUUGGUUCAACAAGACCUGAUAAUGUUGAUCAGGAACCGAGAGAUAGUAGUAGCAGUAAUUCUCUGCCCAGUUACAUGCAAGCCACAGAGUCUGCAAGAGCCAAGCUCCAUGCAAAUAACUCUCCCAGAUCAAGUCCAGAUGUGCAAGACAAGGACAUUUACAUCAAGAAGAGGCACUCCCUGCCUGGUGCAAAUGGAAGGCAGGGAUCUCCUCG
rnacentral:lncRNA from 1 species